rnacentral:lncRNA from 12 species
CGGGUCUGGGGGCACAGAGGAGUCAGUGGUUCGUCUCUCCCUCCCGCAGGCAGUGACACCGUGGAGGUCCCCGUUCGCCUGAUCCCUGGAGAGAGGCAGGCUGGAGAUGGCACGUCCCUCCCGGAGACACCCAACCCCAAAAUGAUGUCGGCAGUGUACGCAGAGCUGGAGAACCGCCUGAUCGGGGGCUUGGCUGGCAAGAUGGGCAGUGCUGCCCUGCACAGGACAUCACCCCCCGCCCCCGAGCUGCCACACGCUGCAGGUACUUCCUGGGGCAUCUCAGGUGAGAUGGGGGGGCUGGCCAGGCAGGUGGAGGAGAAGCCAAGCUCCUCUUGGUGCCAUUUUAUUGGGAAGCCAUGCUGGCUCUGCAGAGCUGUGGCUGCUGGAGGGCAGUGGCGUGGGUGGGAUGGGGCAUCCCAUGGGGUCACAGCGAGCUGCUGUCACUGCAGCCUCUGUCUGGCGAGCUCCCUUCUCCUUGUGCUGCCCUUGUGCUGUCCUUGUCGUUCUCAUUGUCCUCUCCAGUUGUCCUUUCGUUGUCCUCUCUAGUUGUCCUCUCGCUUUCUUCUCGUUUUCCUCUCGUUGUCUUCUCCUUGUCCUCUCCUUCUCUUCUCCCUCUCCUCCCCCGUGGCUCCUCUCCCCCAUGGCCAGGGGCUGCAGGUUGCCCACAUCACCCGGUGGCCGUGUCCCGCAGGUGGCCGCAAGCCGGGGCUGGCGUGGCCGAGCGAGCCGCUGGCGAGCCAGCCGUGCUACUACCGGCUGCACAGCAGCGUGGCCUCGCCGUGCAGCACCGAGUCCAACCCCUACGUCAGCCUGGACAGCAGCCCGGCCCCGUCGCCCAAGCACCGCCAGUACUCGCCGCUGGCGCGGCGCAAGAAGCUCUUCACCUUCUCCAGGCCCCCGCGCAGCCGCGACACCGACCGGUUCCUGGACGCGCUCAGCGAGCAGCUGGGGCACCGCGUCACCAUCGGCGACGAGUUCCUCACCCCCGAGAACGACUACGAGGAGAUGAGUUUCCAGGAUGACCAGGGCAGCUAUGUCACCAACGAUGUCAGCAGCAGCGAGUACAUCAGCAGCAGCGACGAGGGCAGCUCCCUGACCUACUCCACGCUCUCGGACCACAUCCCCCCUCCUCCGCUCAGCCCCCCGCCCCCGCGGGGGGGGGGGGGGGGGGGG